GGGGUAGGUGUUAUGAGAGCUACAGCGAGGAUCACAAAUUUGUGGAAGACAUGACAGACGUCAUACUUGGUUCACAAAGAGAGCCUCCUUCCAACUAUAAGCAUGGCGUUCCAUUUGUUGGUGGCAGGGAUAAAAUUGCAGUAUGUGCCAAGCAUUACAUGGGAGAUGGUGGGACAACCCCGAGGAAAAAAUGAGAAUAACGCGGUGACUUCUUUACAUGGUCUUCUUAGUGUUCGCAUGUCUGCUUAUGCUGAUGCAGUUUACAAAGGUGUUUCCAUAGUGAUGGUUUCAUAUUCAAGCUGGAACAAUGCAAAUACUGAGCUUAUCACAGGUAAUUUGAUUCUAAUUGUCUUGACACUAGUCCUAAUAACUAUAAUUGUCUUGAGACAGGUUCAAAAUGCUAUAUUGGAUUCCUGAAAAUGAUCGGAGCACUGGUUGAGAAGGAAAAUCUAACGGAUCUUGGGAAGCUCAUUGAUUAUCCCCGUUGAUCCCAAGCUGGGGAAAAUGCUGAUAAUGGGUGCCAUCUUCCGCUGCUUUGACCCGAUCCUGACAAUUUGUAUGUAUUAUAAGGACUCAGUGUCAGAGAUCCUUUCCUUCCACCUCAAGACGAAAAGAAUGCAAGUACAAGGACUCAUGAUUCAUUUUUAUGAGUUAUGUUGGAGGAUCGUCUAUAAAGCUCUCCGGUGAUGAAUCCGUUCAGGAUCGUCUCUCGUCGACUCCUACUCUCGAACUCGCCUCUUCUCUUCUCCUCGAUUCCACUAAACGAUGCUUCUGGACACGAGCUGCUGUUCACAAUGACUAGGGUCAAAAUACAAAUCAGAGUCCCCCCGACUCAACACGACGACCUUCCUUUUCUUCGUUCGCUUCAAGUUCCGGUCGACAGACAACAUAAUGGUUCACUUCCUUCACAUAAUUGGGGAUGAUGCACACUACAUAUGACGCAGCAACAACAACGAUGGAAUGGAAUUAGUAUCAUUUUCUUGAUCUCUAUGUGGAGGUUAUUGAAUAUGAUGCAGCUUCUGGAAAGUUUUUCAUGAAACCGUGGACAACUCACUUAUGCCCUGCCCUGUGGAAAAACCAGUUGGGGAUGUCACAUGUCAAAAGGUGAAACUUUCUGUCUCCAAUCUCCACACACAAAAUGGUUCACUUUCUCUAUAGAAUCCGGAAUGAUGCACUAUAUGACGCUUCAACAACAACGAUGGUAUGGAAAUUAAUAUGGAGUUGUUGAAUAUGCAGCUUCUGGAAAGUUAUCAUAAAACAGCGGACAACAGUUAUCCCCUGCCCUGUGGAUCAUCCCAAAACCAGUUGGAGAUGUCACAUGUCCUCCAAUAGGUGAAACCUCUUUUGUCUCCAAUCUCCAUCUGAAACUAAUGAACCUGCACUCCUUUGUGAAUGAGAGGAUUACUGUCUAAAGCGGCUUAACCCCAACACCCAGACAACCAGGUCUCUGUGUGUCGAAGGAGGUUUCCUUCAACAUUGGCGAAUCUAUAGAGAAUGGAGAUAUUGAUUCAGGAUGCCAACGCAAAGGUGACAACAAAUAUAAUAUCAGACUUCUCCAUUUGAUAGCUAAUAGGCGCAUUGGGUCAAGCUACCACAACGUUGCAGCAGCUUCCUCCCUUUAACAAGGAUACUUUAGCCGGUGGUCGCAGAAAUCCCCUGAGUGGAUCCUUUGAAAGAUUCUUCGUAACAGAUUUCAUACAUGUUUUACUAGGAGAGCCUCCUUCCAACUAAAAGCAUGGUGUUCCUUUCGUUGGUGGCAGCUAAAGAGAAUUUGUGUCUGUAGUCCCCGAUAUAUUGAGCUAGUCCCAAAAGAGAAAAAUUGGUGGAGCUUUGGGGACAAGAGUGAUCCCUUCAAUUCUGGUGUCAUAACUUACAUAUGUCAAAAGGAAGGUAGGAGCUUGUUCGUAUGUUGAUGAUCCAGCUGGGUGUCAGUCACUGCUUUCACGAGCAAUACAUAAGGUGUUGGUUUAAGAACUCUGGGGGAUUCUAAUAUGCUUGCUAAUAGUCAUAGAGAACUGGAUUCUGAUAGUGUCAAUCACUUGGUCAGCACUUUCUCAUCGGAUCCAAGCCUAAUAGCCUUUGCACAGUUGUGCUGUGACACAUUUGGGUGGGUACACAUUUGGUAAAAUUAAUCUCAGAACCGUGGACAAGACACUCAUUAUGCCCUCCUGCCUUGUGGAUCAUGCCAAAACCAGUUGGAGAUGUUACAUGUCCUCCAAAAGGAAAGAAGCUGCUUGCAGAGCCAAACUCAAAGGCUAAGGCCCGUGAUUAGAGUUCCUUGUACUCAGAGCUGAAGUCAACGGUGCUCUUCUCCAUCGAGACAUGUAUGUAUGAAGCCAGAACUUAGGAGAGAUUGUGUCUGCUACAUGUCGUUUUUCACACCUUCUUGCUUCCUCUAGUUAUAUAGAAAAAGAGAUAUAAUUUUUAAAAAAUGUAAAAAUAAUAUGAUAUUGUAUACAUAAAAUACAUAUACCAUGUAUACAUCUACGUUUAAGUUUUAAAAAUGGCAUUCAUGAGACCA